rnacentral:rRNA from 1 species
CCAAUAGCGUAUAUUAAAGUUGUUGCAGUUAAAAAGCUCGUAGUUGAAUUUCGGGGUUCAUCCGUUGGUCGGGCUUUUUUGGUCUGUACUGGCGUGAUGGAUUCCUACCUUCUGAAUAACCGGCAUGUCAUUAAUUUGGUGCGCCGGGGAAGCAGGACUGUUACCUUGAAAAAAUUAGAGUGCUUAAAGCAGGCUAUCGCCUGAAUACAUUAGCAUGGAAUAAUGAAAUAGGACGGCAUGGUUCUAUUUUGUUGGUUUCUAGGAUCACCGUAAUGAUUAAUAGGGAUAGUUGGGGGCAUUAGUAUUCAAUUGUCAGAGGUGAAAUUCUUGGAUUUAUUGAAGACUAACUUCUGCGAAAGCAUUUGCCAAGGAUGUUUUCAUUAAUCAAGAACGAAAGUUAGGGGAUCGAAGACGAUCAGAUACCGUCGUAGUCUUAACCAUAAACUAUGCCGACUAGGGAUCGGACGAUGUUAAUUUUUUAAUGACUCGUUCGGCGCCUUAC